GAAUGAACAAGGAUAUGCUUAGCUUGACAAAUGGAGCUAUUGGCUUUGAAUUGUAUUGUGGAAAUGUAUUACCAACAGAGGUGCAGGUGCCAGCCUAUUGAAAUAAAGCGUCAAUGAGGGUGAGAAUCCUGUUUGUCAUGUGCAGCCCUUUGUGCACGGUGUAUAUUUGCUGAGUCACACUCCUUGGCAUUGGAAUGCAAAGUGGGUGGUAAGUUUCAUGUAAAGGUAAACAUGCAAUUGAGACUGAUAGCACACAAGUACCAUGAGGGAAAUAUGAAAAGGACUUUGAAAAGAGAAUUAAAUGAGUUUGUAUUUGCUGAACACAAAGUAAACAGACUUGAUUUGCUUGGUGGGAGUGUUGCACUUGCUUGACAAGAGCUUUGGGCUGUGGGUGUAAUGAUUCUUUCUUUGCAUGCCAGUUUCUAUUUGUACAUCUGAUUACCUUUGCACAUGAAUGAUAAGUCUCCUGUGGGGGGUGGAUUGCAUGUGCAUGUAAUGAUUUGUGUUUUGAUAAAUGUGUCUGGUGUAUGUGUGUGUUCCUGUGCUUGGGGAUGCUUCCUUCCUUGGACUUACAAGCCCUGACACACACAUGCUGGCAAAAUGCUUCUGCUUGACCCGUCUUGAAACACGGACCAAGGAGUCUAACAGAUGUGCAAAGUUUGAAGGUGGUAUACCUUUGUGUGCAAUGAAAGUGUCAGCUGGGAUAUGUGCACCAGCACCCAAUUAAUUAGCGGACAGAGGUUUGAGUUGGAGCAUAUCUAUUAGGACCCGAAAGAUGGUGAACUAUGCCUGAACAGAAUGAAUUCAGAGGAAACUCUGAUGGAGGUUCGUAUCGAUACUGACGUGCAAAUCGUUCGUCAUAUUUGGGUAUAGGGGCGAAAGACUAAUCGAACCAUCUAGUAGCUGGUUCCCUCCGAAGUUUCCCUCAGGAUAGCUGGAGUUGCUCAGUUUUAUCAGGUAAAGCGAAUGAUUAGAGGAAUUGGGGACAGGUUUGUCUUUGACCUAUUCUCAAACUUUAAAUGGGUAAUAUGUAGUGGUUGCUGUAUGGAACUUCUAAGAUAAAUGGCAAUAUUGGGUGGGCCAUUUUUGGUAAGCAGAACUGGCGAUGAGGGAUGAACCUAAUGUGGGGCUAAGGUGCUUAAUUACUUGCUCAUUUGAUACCAGAAAGGGUGUUGGUUCAUUUUAACA
rnacentral:rRNA from 1 species